AGUGAACGCUGGCGGUAGGCCUAACUCAUGCCAGUCGAACGGCAGCACAGUAAGAGCUUGCUAUUACGGGCGGCGAGUGGCGGACGGGUGAGGAAUACAUCGGAAUCUACUUUUUCGUGGGGGAUCACGUAGGGAAACUUACGCUACUACCGCAUACGACCUACGGGUGAAAGCAGGGGAUCUUCGGACCUUGCGCGAUUGAAUGAGCCGAUGUCGGCUUAGCUAGGUGGCGGGGUAAAGGCCCACCAAGGCGACGAUCCGUACCUGGUCUGAGAGGAUGAUCAGCCACACUGGAACUGAGACACGGUCCAGACUCCUACAGGGAGCACCGGUGGGGAAUAUUGGACAAGGGGGGCAAGCCUGAUCCAGCCAUACCGCGUGGGUGAAGAAGGCCUUCGGGUUGUAAAGCCCUUUUGUUGGGAAAGAAAAGCAGCAGUUUAAUACCCCGCUGUUCUGACGGUACCCAAAGAAUAAGCACCGGCUAACUUCGUG
rnacentral:rRNA from 1 species